rnacentral:rRNA from 1 species
AUUGAACGCUGGCGGCAGGCCUAACACAUGCAAGUCGAGCGGAUGAAGGGAGCUUGCUCCUGGAUUCAGCGGCGGACGGGUGAGUAAUGCCUAGGAAUCUGCCUGGUAGUGGGGGAUAACGUCCGGAAGCGGGCGCUAAUACCGCAUACGUCCUGAGGGAGAAAGUGGGGGAUCUUCGGACCUCACGCUAUCAGAUGAGCCUAGGUCGGAUUAGCUAGUUGGUGGGGUAAAGGCCUACCAAGGCGACGAACCGUAACUGGUCUGAGAGGAUGAUCAGUCACACUGGAACUGAGACACGGUCCAGACUCCUACGGGAGGCAGCAGUGGGGAAUAUUGGACAAUGGGCGAAAGCCUGAUCCAGCCAUGCCGCGUGUGUGAAGAAGGUCUUCGGAUUGUAAAGCACUUUAAGUUGGGAGGAAGGGCAGUAAGUUAAUACCUUGCUGUUUUGACGUUACCAACAGAAUAAGCACCGGCUAACUUCGUG